rnacentral:lncRNA from 10 species
CUCGCGGCGGGGUUGCUGGGUCUUCCAGGAUCGCGCAUUAGCGGACGCUGGCUACGGGUGGCCGGGCGGGAUGUAACCGGCUGCUGAGCUGGCAGUUCUGUGUCCCCAGGCUUCGGCCCGGCCGCCGCCGCACAUAAACUGCGAGGAGGAGCUUUACGACUUCUCGGUCUUCGGGGCCGGGCGCAGCAAGGGCCAGACUCUGCGCUAGCAGGCGCUGCGCGCCAACCGGCCGGCCCCUGUCGCAGAAGGUGCAACCGAUCGCACUGUCGCGCAGAAGCUCCUCAAUGGCCAGCGCCAGCUGCAGCCCCGGCUGCCCACUCGCCUCACCUGAGCCUGGGUGGAACAAUCCAAAGUUUUAAUCAAAGAAGGUGGUAUUCAGUUGCUGCUUACAAUAGUUGAUACCCCAGGAUUUGGAGAUGCAGUGGAUAAUAGUAAUUGCUGGCAGCCUGUUAUCAAUUACAUUGAUAGUAAAUUUGAGGACUACCUAAAUGCAGAAUCGCAAGUGAACAGAUGUCAGAUGCCUGGUAACAGGGUGCACUGUUGUUUAUACUUCAUUGCUCCUUCAGGACAUGGACCGUUACAUAACUGAAGACUCCCACCUUCAGGCAGGAUUGGGUAGUACAUGUUUGUAACUACCUGGCAUUGCCUUUUGUUGAGACUUAAACCAUUGGAUAUUGAGUUUACAAAGCAUUUGCAUGAAAAAGUGAAUAUCAUCCCACUUAUUGCCAAAGCAGACACACUCAUGCCAGAGGAAUGCCAACAGUUUAAAAAACAGGU